rnacentral:rRNA from 2 species
AUCUUACCGGGUCCGGACACACUGAGGAUUGACAGAUAUAUACCCCGUGAUUUUAUCGCGGGGUUGAAAGAUGCUAGUUCUUUCAUGAUUAUGUGAUAGGUGGUGCAUGGCCGUUCUUAGUUCGUGGAGUGAUCUGUCUGCUUAAUUGCGUAUCAAUAAUAGAGACCUAGUAUACGCGUAGACUCAUGCGGUAGUGACCCCCCUUCACAGGGCGCGUGUCGCACGUAUGUUAUACGCACAGGUCUCCGAUAGCAACGAACGUGACCGUACUCUAUUGUUGCAGCGACAAUACCUUUCAACGGGUAUUACCGCUGCUUAGCAAGAUUCGUCUUGCAUUAAACUAUAGAGACCGCUGUUUCUUCUUUAAACCAGAGGAAGGAUACGGCAAUAACAGGUCUGUGAUGCC